UACGUAGGGUGCGAGCGUUUGUCCGGAAUUACUGGGCGUAAAGAGCUCGUAGGCGGUUUGUCGCGUCGUCCGUGAAAACUUGGGGCUCAACCCCAAGCUUGCGGGCGAUACGGGCAGACUUGAGUACUGCAGGGGAGACUGGAAUUCCUGGUGUAGCGGUGAAAUGCGCAGAUAUCAGGAGGAACACCGGUGGCGAAGGCGGGUCUCUGGGCAGUAACUGACGCUGAGGAGCGAAAGCGUGGGGGAGCGAACAGG
rnacentral:rRNA from 1 species